ensembl:lncRNA
UAACUGAAAACUUUAGCUGCUUUUGCCACUACAGUACAUUUAUGAUGCUUCUAUCCAGAGGGGGAAAAAAAAAAAAACCCACGUUUUGGAAGUACAAAGAGUGUACAACCUGUGCGCACAGAAAUCUAUGAAUUCUACCCCUGGGUGCCAAGGUCUUUAAAACAUCAGCUGAAUUCUGAAGCUAAAGCUGACACAAACAGAAGGAGAAGCAGUGCAAAGUUGCUUUGCUAUUUUCAGAUGUUUCAAAUGCAAAAUGUUGCUUUCUUGGAUGCUCAGUUAUUUUUUGAACAAAUAUGCUCCAAAAGAAAAGGUGCUUUCACAUUUGCUGUUCCAGAACACAGCAGAAGAAACAAACUACAGAGAGGAUGUACUUGGGAAGUCUGUACAGGUGGAACCAACGUUUGUGCUGCAACACAAGGCAACAAAAGACAGCUUAAGACAGAAAGAAUAUGGGCUAUAAGUGGUGUUAUACCACCUCGCUAUCUGAGCACGUGGACUUUCGAGGGCAGACAUCCCCUGUUUUGAAUGUUUUAAUCCCAUAGUCUUCCAUUCUCUGAGAAGGGGGAUUCAGCACCCACUAACUAUAUCUUUUUUUUCCUCAGAGAGCCCAGUUUUAGCCUUUGUGUUUCAUUCGCUGCUGCUCUCAAUUCACUGGGGUGCCAUAGUCAUGAAUACACUGAGAUCUUUAAGUAUUUAUUACUUUGGCAACACCUUUCACAGCCCAUCAGUUUUCAUAAUUAAGUUCAUAGAUCUGCAUUACCUAGCAUAAGUUUUGAUCCAUAUUGUUUGCUGAGUUGGUCAUGAUUUGCUGGCUUUUUAUGAAACAGCAUUUUACUAGUCAAAUUCCUGGACUGUGCUUAUUAAUACAGUAGGCUCAAAUUUAUCAUACUUUAAAAAUCUGUUAUUUUGGACAGGGGGAAAAAAACCCAUCAUUUUGCUUCAUCCUGCAGGAGAACCGAGCCAUCUAUUUUAUUUAACCUUAACGAGGCAGCAGUCU